GCGGGACCUCCCUGGGACACAUGAUAGCUCAGAAUUCUCUCUAGGAAUGAAAAGGGGACUAUUUUCUCGUUGGCUCCAGUUCCUCUUUGGUCAAGGGGUCUACGUGGGAUGUCAGCUCUCUCACACUUCCAGGUGUUGACCACAACAACCCUCCCCAGGAAACUGUCUACAAUGUAAUAUCCAUCUCAGAGGCAACUUCGGAGUAUCCUGUCUUGCCACAAGGAUAGCCCGCUGGGCCUGUGGAGUGAGGCAUAGAGUCAGACUCUGCAGAGUCUAGCACAGAGCCCUGCACAGAGCAGGCACUCCUAAAUAUGUUUACAGGAACGGUUAGUCAACGAUGAGUUCUCAGAAAAAUAAAAACACUUAUGUGACUUCA